rnacentral:rRNA from 1 species
UACGGAGGGUGCAAGCGUUGCUCGGAAUUAUUGGGCGUAAAGGAUAGGUAGGUGGUCUCAUUUGUCUGGGGUGAAAGCCUUGGGCUUAACUCAAGAAGUGCCCCAGAAACGGUGAGACUAGAGUCCUGGAGAGGGUCGUGGAAUUCCCGGUGUAGCGGUGAAAUGCGUAGAGAUCGGGAGGAACACCAGAGGCGAAGGCGGCGACCUGGACAGGUACUGACACUCAACUACGAAAGCGUGGGGAGCAAACAGG